rnacentral:rRNA from 1 species
UACGGGGGGGGCAAGCGUUGUUCGGAAUUACUGGGCGUAAAGGGCGCGUAGGCGGCCUUCUAAGUCAGACGUGAAAUCCCUCGGCUCAACCGAGGAACUGCGUCUGAUACUGGAAGGCUUGAAUCCGGGAGAGGGAUGUGGAAUUCCAGGUGUAGCGGUGAAAUGCGUAGAUAUCAGGAGGAACACCCGUAGCGAAGGCGGCACUCUGGGCCGAUUCUGACACUGAGGAGCGAAAGCGUGGGGAGCGAACAGG